GCGAGGAAUAUUGCACAAUGGAGGAAACUCUGAUGCAGUAACGCCGCGUGGGGGAAGAAGACCUUCGGGUUGUAAACCUCUUUUUGUAAAGACGAGUGAGGACGGUAUUUAUAGAAUAAGUCUCGGCUAACUACGUGCCAGCAGCCGCGGUAAGACGUAGGAGGCGAGCGUUAUCCGGAUUCACUGGGCGUAAAGCGCAUGUAGGCGGAUGUCUAAGUCGUGUGUUAAAGCCCCUGGCUCAACUGGGGGAGGUCAUGCGAGACUGGAUGACUUGAGGGCAACAGAGGCACGUGGAACUCCCGGUGUAGCGGUGGAAUGCGUAGAGAUCGGGAAGAACACCCGUGGCGAAGGCGGCGUGCUGGGUUGCAACUGACGCUGAGAUGCGAAAGUGUGGGGAGCAAACGGGAUUAGAAACCCGAGUAGUCC
rnacentral:rRNA from 1 species